rnacentral:ncRNA from 2 species
GGUCAAGCGAACAAGUGCAUGUGGUGGAUGCCUUGGCGAUCACAGGCGAUGAAGGACGCGGUAGCCUGCGAAAAGCGGUGGGGAGCUGGCAAACGAGCUUUGAUCCACCGAUAUCCGAAUGGGGAAACCCGGCCCGUAUGGGUCACCCUAGAGUGAAUACAUAGCUCUAGUGGAGCGAACGCGGUGAACUGAAACAUCUAAGUAACCGCAGGAACAGAAAUCAACCGAGAUUCCCAAAGUAGUGGCGAGCGAAAUGGGAUCAGCCUGUACUCUUUAUUUUUAUUGUUAGCUGAACGCUCUGGAAAGUGCGGCCAUAGCAGGUGAUAGCCCUGUAAGCGAAAACAGUAGAAAAGAACUAGGGGUACGAGAAGUAGGGCGGGACACGUGAAAUCCUGUCUGAAGAUGGGGGGACCAUCCUCCAAGGCUAAAUAUUCGUGAUCGACCGAUAGUGAACCAGUACCGUGAGGGAAAGGCGAAAAGAACCCCGGGAGGGGAGUGAAAUAGAUCCUGAAACCGCAUGCAUACAAACAGUCGGAGCCUCGCAAGGGGUGACGGCGUACCUUUUGUAUAAUGGGUCAGCGACUUACGUUCAGUAGCGAGCUUAACUGAUUAAGGCAGGCGUAGCGAAAGCGAGUCCGAAUAGGGCGAUCAGUUGCUGGGCGUAGACCCGAAACCAAGUGAUCUAUCCAUGGCCAGGUUGAAGGUGCGGUAACACGUACUGGAGGACCGAACCCACUAACGUUGAAAAGUUAGGGGAUGAGCUGUGGAUAGGGGUGAAAGGUUAAACAAACUUGGAAAUAGCUGGUUCUCUCCGAAAACUAUUUAGGUAGUGCCUCGUGUAUCACCUUCGGGGGUAGAGCACUGUCAUGGUUGUGGGGUCCAUUGCGGAUUACUAAGCCAUAGCAAACUCCGAAUACCGAAGAGUGCAAUCACGGGAGACAGACAUCGGGUGCUAACGUCCGGUGUCAAGAGGGAAACAACCCAGACCGCCAGCUAAGGUCCCUAAGAUUGGCUAAGUGGGAAACGAAGUGGGAAGGCUAAAACAGUCAGGAGGUUGGCUUAGAAGCAGCCACCCUUUAAAGAAAGCGUAAUAGCUCACUGAUCGAGUCGUCCUGCGCGGAAGAUGUAACGGGGCUCAAGCCAGUCACCGAAGCUGCGGAUGCGCACGUAAGUGCGUGUGGUAGGAGAGCGUUCCGUAAGCCUGCGAAGGUGCGUUGAAAAGCGUGCUGGAGGUAUCGGAAGUGCGAAUGCUGACAUGAGUAGCGGUAAAGGGGGUGAAAAGCCCCCUCGCCGUAAGCCCAAGGUUUCCUACGCAACGUUUAUCGGCGUAGGGUGAGUCGGCCCCUAAGGUGAGGCAGAAAUGCGUAGCUGAUGGGAAGCAGGUCAAUAUUCCUGCACCAUUGUUAGAUGCGAUGGGGGGACGGAUCGCGGAAGGUUGUCCGGGUGUUGGACGUCCCGGUCGCUGCAUUGGAGAGGGUGCUUAGGCAAAUCCGGGCACAGGACUCAAGGGUGUGGCGCGAGUGACUUCGGUCACGAAGCAAUUGGAAGUGGUUCCAAGAAAAGCCUCUAAGCUUCAGUCUAAUAAUGACCGUACCGCAAACCGACACAGGUGGGCGAGAUGAGUAUUCUAAGGCGCUUGAGAGAACUCGGGAGAAGGAACUCGGCAAAUUGGUACCGUAACUUCGGGAUAAGGUACGCCUCUGUAGCUUAACCAGCCUGCGCUGGAAGGGUGAAGAGGUUGCAAUAAACUGGUGGCUGCGACUGUUUAAUAAAAACACAGCACUCUGCAAACACGAAAGUGGACGUAUAGGGUGUGACGCCUGCCCGGUGCCGGAAGAUUAAAUGAUGGGGUGCAAGCUCUUGAUUGAAGUCCCGGUAAACGGCGGCCGUAACUAUAACGGUCCUAAGGUAGCGAAAUUCCUUGUCGGGUAAGUUCCGACCUGCACGAACGGCGUAACGAUGGCCACACUGUCUCCUCCCGAGACUCAGCGAAGUUGAA